UACAGUAACCUGUUAUAGGUUUUUAUCAUUGUACCCAUCUCCUUUGAGUACCUGCGAGACAGGCUUUGAAGAGCAUGCUCUGUUGACUGACUGUAUCUCAGGUAGACUGAGAGCUGCUAUAGUCACUCUGCAGAGAACAUCCUGCAUACAUGCAACCCCAGAACCUCCCCCCCCCCCCAACUAAAGUUUCAGUUCUCUAGAUCUGAUAGGGAAAUAAUACAGAUUUUAUAUGUGAAUUAUUUAGAAUUUUGUGUUUAGUCUCAGGACUUAAUGUGCUGCCUGGAGGAAUUUUGUGUUUAGUCUUAGGACUUAAUGUCCUGUGCUGCCUGGAGGAAUUAGAAAGUCUAUCAUUGUUGUCAAGGGGAUAGUUUAGGGUUUGUAUGUAAUCUGCUUUUCUACACUAGCAUCAAGAUUCCAAAUGUCACCAGUGAGGUUGGAUUAAUUAUUCCUUCUGAGUGAUGAUUUCAUUUAUGUCAUAAAACGGCUUCCUCAUCCUAGAAAGUUACUUUUAAUCAAGAAGUGACAUAGUGUAGAAGAGUGAACUUUAUACUCUCAAGAACUAUAGUUGGGGAAAAAGCCAGAUCUGAAAUCCAUUUCUCCUCUUUGAUACAUGUUGUUGUUAGUGGUGAUGGUGAUACUGGUGGGGCCGGGGAUUGUUUCUCUCUCUCUCUCCCUCUCCCUCUCUCUCUCUCUCUCUCUCUUUCUCUCUCUCUCUCUCUCUGUGUAUGUGUGUGUGUGUGUUAUGAUAACCUUGGCUCUUGUUCCACAUCUAUUGUUCUGCUUUGUUUUUGUUGUUGUUAUAGCAAGUUUAUCCACCAGCCUAGAACCUGCCAAGUAGACUAGGUUUCCUGCCCAAUGAGAUCCAGGAAGCUGCCUAUUUAUUUUAUUGCAAAUAGGCCCUUAUUUUAGAGUGUGUGUUCUGUGUUUUAUACCAGGUCUAGGAAUGGAACCUAGGCUCUCAUGCUUUCAGGGUAAGCACUGUACUGACGAAGCCAUCAUAUACCCCAUCUCCUGUGGUUUCCCUUCUGCUAACAUUUGUCUACACUCAUUCAAUUAGAAUAAUAAAAGCUGCUGGAGCACAAGAUGGAAAAUCUGAAACAAUGUCAGAAGAGGGAAUGGAAAGGUGCUUUGGACUGAUAUGUAACAGUAGGCAGUUUUGGAGAGGAGUAUGAGUCCCAGGCUCUGAAAUAUGUGCCUUCCUGCUUUUCAUAACAUAUUGGAGUAGUGCCCUCAGAUUCCUUCUCUAUGCCUGCCAUCUCCAAGUAUUUUCUGGUCCAAGAAGAUAGUAGAGGAAAAUAUGGUAACAGGAAGAAGCCUGUUGCUAUUUCAUAAGUCUACUCUCUGGAGAGAAUGGAAUCUGAUCUUCUAGGAUGAAUAGAGAAAAAAAGCAAAAUAAACAAAGAAACAAAAAAGCACCCCCCUCCCCAAUAAAACCACAACAACCACAACAUCUUUAAGUCCUUGAAUUAGAGAAUCACAGUGAGUAUUUUAUGGAAUAUCAAAGCUGUUGGAUGAACCUUGAUGGCCUGUUUUGCUUAAUGUUCUUCUAAGGGGUGUCUCUACGGAAAUCUCCCAAAUGAGUUUUCACAAAACAUAUAUCUUAGUUAUGUUUCCUAUUGCUAUGGUAGAACACACCAGCAAAUGCAGCUUAAGAGAGAAUAUGUUUAUUUUGAAUGAAAGACCUAGGGAGAUACAGUUCAUGGGGUUGGAAACUGUAGACCUAGGGGGAUACAGUUCAUGAGGGUAGAGACUAUAGACCUAGGGGGAUGCAGUUCAUGAGUGUGGAGACUGGAGCUGGCAGAAGGAGACCAGGUGGUCACACUACAGUAGUUGUCAGGAAGCAGAGUGAGCUUGAAGUGGAUUCUGAAGAAUGACCCCAGAGACCUACUUAUUCCAGCAAGUCCCCACAUCCAAAAGGCACCACAGUCUUCACAAACAGCAUCACUUCAUGAAACUAAGAGGGGUCAUUUAGUGUCUAAACCACAAUAUAUUGUUAGUCAAGAUUUUACUUAUGAGUGAGUCCAUAUAAUAUGGGCCUUCUUCACCACAGUAUGAUCAAUUCAUAUGCAUUUAAUAACACCAUUUAUAGUUUUUAUCUCUUAUGUGAUUACAGCUUGGAUAUGCAGUGUUAAGUAAUAUUUUUGUUUUGUUUUUGUCUUUGUUUUUUGCAUUUCAUUCUAGGAUUUGUACAUAGUGUUAGCUAGAAAAGGUCACAGUAAUGUUUCAGCUCCUCAGUUGGAAAUUUGCCUUGUUUUUUUUUUUUAAAGCAUUAACUCCAAAACACACAAAAAAAUUAGGCAUAAGAAAUAUGAACUAACUAUUAGACAGAUGGAAUUAGAAGUCUGUAUCUAUUUCCUAUGUAUACAUGUUACAUAAAAUAUGUACUUUACUUUCAUUUCUGUGACUUUGAUAAAAAUAUCCUCAUGUAAAGGAACUAAGGGGGAAAAUUAUCAUGUUUUAAAAUUUCAGGUUACAGUUGAUCACUGCAAAGAAGUCAAGGCAGGAUGUCUAGCUAGUCUAGCCAGUCACAUCAAAGCAACAGUCAAGAGCAGAUGAAUGAGUGUAGGUGGGGCUGCUCCUAUGGUAGCUUUCUCUACUUUUAUAAAUAUACUGCUUGUAAAAAACAGGAAGAAGUCCCACCCACUUCCAGGUUUGUUUCUUCUACAUCAAAUAAGGUAGUCAUGACAAUCCUCCACAGAUCAACUGAUAUAAGCAAUCCCUGUCUGAGAUGCUCUGUAAAAUAACACAGACUGUGGUUUGUUUCUGUUUUUUGUUUUGUUUUGUUUUGCUUAUGCUGGGUUUUUUUUAAUUCUUGCAUUUUGUUAUACUCAAAAAAUUGUUGAAUAAAAACCACUUUUUCG
rnacentral:lncRNA from 1 species